GGUUACCUGGCAACCUUACUUGAGCAGUGCAAUAUAUGGGUCAAAUGUCGUGAGGUCCGAAGUUCUUCUUUCAAGGAGGAGGGUUCCGUUUCAGGGAAUUAGCACCUGGGAGUACUAUCUCGGGGAGAGAUGUCGGCGGCAGUUGGGAUUUCCUUGUCAAGUUCCCAAUGAUCCUCCACAAAUGAUGCAUGGACCACCUAAGGAUCGCCCAGGGUAUGUCCCAGAGAAUGUCCCAGCUGAUACUCUCGUCAAAGAGGGUCUGGAUUAUGCCUCGUGGUUUGCGAAUAAUUCAAUCGGCAAUAUCCUUAAUGUGACCCGAAGUCUUGGUGGGCCUGAAAUUGCGGGAAAGGUCAUAGACCAGUGGCUGGUGGGUUCUUAUAUAUCUGACCUUUGUAUCAUGUCUCUUGUUUGUAUUAUUAUUACUUGGUCUUAUUAUUUUGUGUUUUUAGGCCAAGCACGAACCAAACUUGAUCCCNAUGCGAAGAAAGGUCACUGGAGAAAUAGGAGCUCUUACAGGGUUCUGGCAGUUUCUUCCGGUGCAUUUUCUCUCUGCCUUGUAUUUUCUGUGAUUUUCCCUGGUCAAAGUUUAAUAUAUUGUCCGCAUUUGGAUAGCUUCUAUUUGAAUGUGGAGAAUUCUUUGAAGCGAAGGGAGUAUUAGUUUUAUUAUCUUCUUUUUUGGGAGUGAAAGGUAUUCUUGUCUUUAUUAUUGUGGUUUAAUUUUAUUUUAUCUUCUUGCUCCAGUUUUGGGCCUUCGAGUAUCUGGAUAUAAGUCGUCCGGAGCAUCAUGAUGUGGAUGUCUUUCCGAGGGCUAGGCGAUGGAUAUGUGCAAAAGGUUCUAGUAAUAACGACUCAACCCUGUUUCUCGCUAGCCGCUGUAAAUUAAAUUAUGUUGAGGAAUCCCAGGUUAGAAAUGUAACCAUUUUUCAUCUGGUUUUUUACUUUUUAAAUUGGUUCUCUAAUUUUACUUUCUAUUAGGUUACCUGGCAACCUUACUUGAGCAGUGCAAUAUAUGGGUCAAAUGUCGUGAGGUCCGAAGUUCUUCUUUCAAGGAGGAGGGUUCCGUUUCAGGGAAUUAGCACCUGGGAGUACUAUCUCGGGGAGAGAUGUCGGCGGCAGUUGGGAUUUCCUUGUCAAGUUCCCAAUGAUCCUCCACAAAUGAUGCAUGGACCACCUAAGGAUCGCCCAGGGUAUGUCCCAGAGAAUGUCCCAGCUGAUACUCUCGUCAAAGAGGGUCUGGAUUAUGCCUCGUGGUUUGCGAAUAAUUCAAUCGGCAAUAUCCUUAAUGUGACCCGAAGUCUUGGUGGGCCUGAAAUUGCGGG
rnacentral:lncRNA from 1 species